UCAGGGAAUUAGCCGAACACCUGUAGAAAAAAGUAGGCA
rnacentral:ncRNA from 1 species